AUAUCAAUAAGCGGAGGAAAAGAAACCAACAGGGAUUGCCCUAGUAACGGCGAGUGAAGCGGCAACAGCUCAAAUUUGAAAUCUGGCCCUCGGGUCCGAGUUGUAAUUUGUAGAGGAUGCUUUUGGUGCGGUGCCUUCCGAGUUCCCUGGAACGGGACGCCAUAGAGGGUGAGAGCCCCGUCUGGUUGGACACCAAUCCUCUGUAAAGCUCCUUCGACGAGUCGAGUAGUUUGGGAAUGCUGCUCUAAAUGGGAGGUAUAUGUCUUCUAAAGCUAAAUACCGGCCAGAGACCGAUAGCGCACAAGUAGAGUGAUCGAAAGAUGAAAAGCACUUUGAAAAGAGAGUUAAAAAGUACGUGAAAUUGUUGAAAGGGAAGCGCUUAUGACCAGACUUGGGCUUGGUAGAUCAACCUGGGUUCUCCCUGGUGCACUCUUCCUCGUCCAGGCCAGCAUCAGUUCGCUGCGGGGGAUAAAGGUUUCGGGAAUGUGGCUCCCUCGGGAGUGUUAUAGCCCGUUGCGUAAUACCCUGUGGUGGACUGAGGUUCGCGUUCUGCAAGGAUGCUGGCGUAAUGGUCAUCAGUGACCCGUCUUGAAACACGGACCAAGGAGUCGUCUUCGUAUGCGAGUGUUCGGGUGUUAAACCCCUACGCGUAAUGAAAGUGAACGCAGGUGAGAGCUUCGGCGCAUCAUCGACCGAUCCUGAUGUUCUCGGAUGGAUUUGAGUAAGAGCAUACGGGGCCGGACCCGAAAGAAGGUGAACUAUGCCUGUAUAGGGUGAAGCCAGAGGAAACUCUGGUGGAGGCUCGCAGCGGUUCUGACGUGCAAAUCGAUCGUCAAAUAUGGGCAUGGGGGCGAAAGACUAAUCGAACCUUCUAGUAGCUGGUUUCCGC
rnacentral:rRNA from 1 species